rnacentral:rRNA from 1 species
UACGUAGGAGGCGAGCGUUAUCCGGAUUUAUUGGGCGUAAAGCGUGCGCAGGCGGCUUGUUAAGUCUAAGAUUAAAGCCCGGAGCUUAACUCCGGUUCGUCUUAGAAACUGGCAGGCUUGAGUAUGGUAGAGGCAAAUGGAAUUCCUAGUGUAGCGGUGGAAUGCGUAGAUAUUAGGAGGAACACCAGUGGCGAAGGCGGUUUGCUGGGCCAUUACUGACGCUCAUGCACGAAAGCGUGGGGAGCAAAUA